rnacentral:rRNA from 1 species
UGAGGAAUAUUGCGCAAUGGACGAAAGUCUGACGCAGCCAUGCCGCGUGAAGGAUGACUGCCCUAUGGGUUGUAAACUUCUUUUAUACACCAAGAAACCUGAGGACGUGUCCUCAGCUGACGGUAGUGUAUGAAUAAGCACCGGCUAACUCCGUGCCAGCAGCCGCGGUAAUACGGAGGGUGCAAGCGUUAUCCGGAUUUAUUGGGUUUAAAGGGUCCGUAGGUGGACCAUUAAGUCAGAGGUGAAAGCCCGCGGCUCAACCGCGGAACUGCCUUUGAUACUGGUGGUCUUGAGUGUGCUCGAAGUUGGCGGAAUAUGACAUGUAGCGGUGAAAUGCUUAGAUAUGUCAUAGAACACCGAUUGCGAAGGCAGCCAACUAGGUCACAACUGACACUGAGGGACGAAAGCGUGGGGAGCGAACAGG